rnacentral:rRNA from 1 species
AACGAACGCUGGCGGCAGGCCUAACACAUGCAAGUCGAGCGAGGACUUCGGUCCUAGCGGCGGACGGGUGAGUAACGCGUGGGAACGUGCCCUUUGCUUCGGAAUAGCCCUGGGAAACUGGGAGUAAUACCGGAUGAGCCCUUUGGGGGAAAGAUUUAUCGGCGAAGGAUCGGCCCGCGUUGGAUUAGGUAGUUGGUGGGGUAAUGGCCUACCAAGCCGACGAUCCAUAGCUGGCUUGAGAGGAUGAUCAGCCACACUGGGACUGAGAAACGGCCCAGACUCCUACGGGAGGCAGCAGUGGGGGAUCUUAGAAAAUGGGGGGAACCAUGAUGGAGCUAUGCCGGGUGAGCGAUGAAGGCCUGAGGGUUGUAAAGCUCUUUCAGCUGGGAAGAUAAUGACGUUACCAGCAGAAGAAGCCCCGGCUAACUCCGUG